rnacentral:sRNA from 1 species
CCUGAUUUCUUUCUUCAGUCACACGUUUUCAUUAGGGGGGAGAGACACCCCUCAGGGUGAGGAUGAAAGCAGCUGAAAGGUUCCCAUUGGUCAUGCUCCAUUAAUGGUGACUGACGCCCAGCUGACCACGCCAUCAGUGCUUCCGUAAAGCUCGGGAGUUCCGUAGCGGGAGCCCUUCCUGUUUAUGGUUAGACUCAGGCCCUCCUUUGGUGCUAAUGAUGUGCCAGUCAGUACCCACAGAUGCAUGUUCCAGAACCUUCAUCAACUGCUCUGUCUCAGAAAAGGCAGGAUAGAUGGACAGAAUCUUUACAAGAACACCAUCUGACUGUGCGCACAGCUCGGUAGGAUCCUUAAAGAGGUUCUAGGCCCUUGAGAAGAAAGCAGAUUACUGGGAGCAGGUCCCUCCAAAGCUGCCUCUCUGCUGUUUGUCGGCCCUGGGAUGAAGAAGCUCAUCUGCCCCAACUGCCCUCCCUGGUGUUCUUUCCGUUCCAGUGCAUGGGGUCAUGCAGGGUUCCACUACCCUCUUCAGAACACAUUGAGAUUCUGCAAGAGCCCAUAUCUUAAUGAGAGCACCAUCCCUCAACACCAGUGUGGCCCGGAGCCCAGACCUCUGAGUGAACCGUACAGCAAUGCUUACACUCUUCUUUUUUCUUUUUUUUCUUUUUUUUUUUUUUAACUAGAAUGCCAAAGCACCUUUCCUGAGAUGCGUCCCUUUGUUUCAUUAGGGAGUGGCCAGUGUUUCUGACAACGUUUCCCAAAUGGUUAGCCACUAACGGGACAAAGAACCCUAGAAAGCCGUUCAGUGAGCCUGUCUCUUAUCAGUCACAGAUAUUUGAUCUAGGUAAUGGUAUCUCUGUGUUACUUUGUCAAAUAAAGCUAUGCACCCUUUUAGCCAUAGUCCUCACACUAUUUGUCUAUGGGCCCUUUGAUGUCUUAAUUAUAUCUGAUUUGUCUGGCCGUAGUGCAUCGGCUGGCAUCCAGGGUCUUGCCUCCCGGUUCUAAAAGUACCCAGAGCUUUGCAAACACCAAGAAAAGGGUCCCAGGAAAAGCCCAUCCACAGAUAGCUCCCCAGGGCAUCAUCAGGACAAAGAAACCUGAUCUUCCUCUGUGCUGACCACCCCCCACCUCUUUGCCUUGAAAGCCUAACUCCUUCUUACUUUAAUUAAGUUUCUGACAUUCUGGUGAAGGCUUUGAGCUCAAGCAGUCUUGCAGAAAAAAAAAAAAAAAAAAAAAAAAAAAAAAAAACCCAGAACCCUACAGUGACAGCAGUAAGCCCCAAACCAUGGUCAUGCACAGAAUCCCCCACCUUCUUCCCUGACUGUGUGAUCAUAGACUAUUUAAAUGUCAGCGAUCUUAAAUCUUAAAUUCCAGAAUCAGAGACCCAAACCUUUACCUAAGUAAAGACCUAUCUGUCCCCAUGCCCACCCUAGCCCGCCCCCAUCUCUCAAUCCCCUUUUGUUGUUUUUCUUUUGGUUUGGUUUUAGAACAUGUAUGUUUGUGUGUGUGUUAGAAAUGGAAACUAGAGUUUCAUGUAUGUUAAAUACACACGCUCUUCCACAGAGCUUUUGCAAUCCCAGGCUCGAUACCACAGAAUGGAUGUGGAAAUUAGAGGACAUAUUGGAAAAGUCAGUCUCCCUCCACCACGUAGGUUCCAGGGAUAGAACUUGAGCUGUCAGGCUUAGCAGCAGUUCUCACCCAUCCCCACUGAGCCAUCACAUUAGCCCAACCUCAGCCUGACUUAGCUUUGCUUAUCUAUAUCAGCCCAGAACCAGUCUUCCGGCUGGGAAUGGAGCUCCCUGGUGAAAAGCUUACUUGCCUAACAUGUACAAGACCAUGGAGUAGAACCCCAACAUCGCAAGAGAAACAGCAAAUGGGUCAUCCAUUAGCUUCUCAAACUGAUGCGGCUGCUCUGGUUUUUUAAACAUGAUCUUCUAAGGUCUCUAUGACAUCUCUGGGACAGCCUCAGGAAUAACCACUCAGUACGUGGGGUCCUGAACCCCACGACACGAAUGGCUUCUGAAACUGGACCACUCUAUACCUUAUCCCUACACAGAACAAGAAAGAACUUGAACUUAAGGGAAGAAACCGCUCUUUAAGACAUAAGGAUUUUCACUGAUGGAUUAGGGGUGUGCUCACCU